rnacentral:lncRNA from 1 species
CAGGACACAUGGGUAUUAAGGGGGCCAGCAGGAAUCGGCCACGGUCCUUGUGGGUGGCCGGAUGACACAGCUGCCCUCCGGACUCCGGGAUCUGCUGUCACCGGUGAGACUGUCAUGUCCUGGCGAUAAUCGUGGCAUUGGCCGCGGCAAAUGGAAGAAGUAAGGCAAGCGUACCAGCCGGGAGGGAGAAGCAAACACCACGGUAUGUACCCCAAAUGCAGCGGGAGUCCGGCCCAUGUCCCUUUCCCCUCUGAAAGGGUAAAAGUCCAUACACGAAUGCCUACUUUCUCUGGGUAAGCCCCUGGUAUGCUGAAUCCUAAUAUAAAAGGAUAAGACUCCAUUUUAUUUCCUUUUAAGUUUUUUUUAUUUAUUCUGAGACAGAGAGAGAGAGAGAGAGACAGAAAAAGAGACAGAGAGCAGGGGAGGGGCGGGGAGGGGGGAGACAGAGAGAAUCCCAGGCAGGUUCCGUACCGUCAGUGCAGAGCCUUACUUGGGGCUCCAACUCGGAAGCCGUGAGAUCAUGACCUGAGCAGAGACCAAGGGUCUGACACUCAGUUGACUGAGCCACCCAGUUGCCUCCUUUUCUUUCUUUAAAGAAGACCUCACUUAAAAAAAAAAAAAAAGUGUUGAUUUAUUUACUUUUGAGAGGUGGCAGGGGUGAAGAGAGAGAGUGAGAGAGAGCAGGAGCAGGAUAGAGGCAGAGGGAGAGAGGCAGAGAAUCCCAAGGAGGCUCCAUGCUCAGUGCAGAGCCUGAUGUGGACCUUGACCUCACGAAUUGUGAGGUCACGACCUGAGGGGAAAUCAAGAAUCAGACACUUACCCGACUGAGCCACCCAGGCGCCCCAAGAAGACCCCACUUUAAAGACACAAAUAUUAGGGAUGCCUGAGUGGCUCAGUUGGUUAAGGGUCCAACUGGCUCAGGUCAUGAUCUCACGGUCUGCGGGUUCGAGUCCCACGUCAGGCUCUGUGCCAACAGCUCGGAGCCUGGAGCCCGCUUCAGAUUCUGCGUCUCCCUCUCUCUCUGCUCCUCUCCUGCUCAUGUUCUCUCUCUCUCUCUCAAAAAUAAAUAUUUUAAAAAAUUGAUAAAUAAAUAAAAAACAUAAAGACAUGAAUAUUGGGCAAAUUUUAGGUCAUUUAUGAAAGCUUGUCCUUCCCAGGACUGUCGUAAGGAAAAGUGUCAACUGCGAAGGAGUAGAUGAUCUCACAAACCCAACACAGCGCGAGAUCCCGCCUACUACCCAUCAGCACGUUGUCCUUCCUGACACAUGAUACAACUGAGCUAUGAUUUACCCAUUGCCUGUUUUUACUUUUGUUUACACAUACUUGAAAACGACUUUUACCUACAUAUCAGACGGAUGCAUAUCUAAAGAGCAAAGUUUCAUUUUAAUGAACGAAGAGUAAAAUAGUUGAGGUGUAUUGACAUUCCGACUUAUGAACAGAAAUCUGAAAAGACAACUUGACGGUAGCUCACAGCGCACAAGAUUAAAUAGUGCUCUCUUUGCAGUCACGAGUACUGAGAAUCUAUGGUCGCUUUGCUCAAGUGAGGUAUCUGUAAACAGUUAACUAGGAUCAUCUGCUCAUUCCUGCUUGCCUCCACUAUCUUUUCUCUCUACUUUUUGGUUCCAAAGCAAACAAUUCAUUUCCACUAUAAUACAAUCUGAAGAGAUGAAUUAGCAAUCGGGAUUAGGAAUCAUACAUUUUAAUAGAAGCGAAGCAAAGACUGUUUUCAUAGUCAAUAACCACAAGAAAAUGGCAUUCUUGUUUGGCCAACUCUUAGCACCUGGUCAGUUCCUCUUGCUGGGGUUUGAUUCCUCCAUAAAAAUCUCCAGAUUGUACUAAUCCUUCCUGUUUCUGCACUAAAAUAAAAAUUUGUACUGGGACAAUAUUCACGUUCAAAUAGAUGGAGGCACAAAUGAUGAAGAAUUACCUGCAUUUCGAUACACUUGGACCAUGAAGGAAAAGGCAGGAGUAGAGAGAAGAAAGAGUAGGAGAGAGACUGGGUGGCAGGUGGCGGGGUGGGCAGCGUCUUCCGGCCCCAGGCCAGGCUGGCCACCCAAACGACCACAGUGUAUAAGCGGCCCCAGGACUACGGGAGCCCAGCCAGGGAGGGCUCAGCCAAUGAAUCCCCUUUUCUGAUAGACCGCUGAGACCCUCAACUAGAAAGACACCCCUCCUCCCACUUCGCGGUGGCUGAACUUCAUGCCCCACCUGCCUGUGUACCUGCAGCCAGAGUCCUAAAAGAACAAAAAUUCGUGAAGAACAUGAAGUUAUAACGUGUAUAGCAUCCCUGAACCUCUGGGGUAAAACUCAUGCCGUCUCUCUGUGUUUCCAUUGUUUCUAACACCCCGAUUCUCCAGAUCCUGGGGCAUUUGCAACAGGACUGGGAUGUGAAUGGGCCACCGGGUGGCUGAUAGACGCAAGCACCCCAUUUAUCAACCGGGUGAGUCUUGGGGAUUUUCACAGUCAAGGUGGGUUUAGUGUUUUCUACCACUGGUCCUAAGCCAUGCUACAGUGGGACAGCAGCAGAUACCCAUGAAGUUGUGUCUGCUCUGAGGUCUUUGUAUGCAGCCAAUAAUUAAAACAAAACUAAAUACGAGGAAAAUAUUUGUUGGAUGAAGUGAGAAUUCAGAUAGGACCAAAAAUGGUCAUUGUUACCAAUGCAUUUCCUUUUAUAAAAAAAAUAGCAGACCCAAGUGCUUAAAAAGCCCUGGUCACUGAAUACAGACCUGGGCCUCUUCUUAGUGAGGAAGCUCCAAAGGUGGCCGUGUUUCAUGUCUAGAAAGGUGAAGGGUAUCGAGCAACGGUGAAGACGUGUUGUCCCCCACCUGUCCCUCGCCUGUCCCCCACCAGAACCCUCAAGACAGCCCCCAAACUAGCCACUGUCCUGCCUUGGACAAGACAAAGAAAGGCAUCUGCCAACUUGGACAAUUUGCAAAGACAAUUAAUUUUGGUAACAAGGCAAAAUGUGUCACUCGAGCAACAAAUGUUAAUUCUUCAGCGUAAUUGAAGAAGAGAUUGAGUUCAAGUCAAUUCACGUGAAAACAAAAUGCUAUAAAAGGAGGCCAAAUUAUAAAGUUAGAAGACAAGUGACAGGAAGUCUCUUCUUCCUACCCCAAAGCCUUAUUUGCAAUGACUUUCUUUAGCCUUCCUUGUUAGAUUAGUCAAAGCCCACUGUGAGAGUACGAAAGGCUUCAACCCAGCCAAUCUGGAAUAAUCACUGAGUUGACAGUCAUUACCUUAAUUUCCCAAGUUGAUCUUACAUUUGGCCCAGCCCUUGAGAUUCCCAAAGAGUAUGUUUAUUUUUGAAUUUGAAAGGUUCUUUACAUACUGGCUUCGGAAAAUGGUUAUCUUCAAUAGCGUUGGGGCAUUUACUUCUGGGAAUGCAAAAUUUGAAAUCUCACAGAGGAGGACUCGGGUGUCAGCUCUGUCAGGCAAGGACUAUCAAAUCUCAGAUAAUUUAUGUUUCAGCCACUUUGCCACUUUUAAUGUUGCCUACAUUAUUUUCCUUGCUAUCCCUACUCACUGCCAUUCCUACAGGCACGAUUUCUUCUCCCUCCAGCCAUACUGGGAUUUUACCCAACUUAACUCUUCUCCAUGCCCUCAUUUGGACUUCUUUUCAAGUUUCCCUUCUCUAAGCCUGCCCCAAAUGUUGCUAUAAAAUUAACCUUUCUUUUUACCCUUCUGACCUUCUAACCCCUUCAUUGGUUCCCUUCAGAGUUGAACCAGACAUACCCAACUUUCUCAUCUUCCCCUUUAAGGUCCUGCACUGGCCAACAAUGUCCCCUCAUCCUCUGGAGCCAGCAGAGGCCACAUACUUGACUCAAAUCUCUCUCUUUAAAUAUGACCUUGGCUUCCUCAGCACCUACCUCCUUGCUCUGCCAACGGAAUUACACCAUCAAUCUUUGUCAAAGAUCUUAGAAUACUGCACGCUUUCCACUGAACUGAUUCUCGUCAAGAACCGUUUUGAGGAAUUUGCUAACUUUUAAAGAGGUAGAUAAACCAGUGAAUCAGGUGUGUGUUAGCCAAGUCAGAUCCUGUGUCUGUGUGAGAGCAGAUCACCAUCUCCACCCCAGCUCUAGAUUUAAGGUGAGCACACAGGUGUUUGUUACGCAUGUAUUUUUUUCAUUUUAAGUUUACUUAUUUAUUUUCAGAGAGAGCACAAAUGUGGAAGGGACAGAGAGAGAGAGAGAGAGAGGGUGACAGAGAAUCCCAAGCAGGCUCCACACUGUCAGCACAGAGCCUAAUGCAGGGCUGGAUCCCACAAACCAUGAGAUCAUGACCUGAGCCGAAAUCAAGAGUCAGAUGCUCAACCCACUGAGCCACCUAGGUGCCCCCAUGUGUCUUCUUUAUCCCAGAUUUUCUGCUGUAUUUAUGUUAGAUCCUUCACAUGGGUAAUAGCCAAUGUAUUCCUAUGCGCUGUAGUGAUGCGGAGUUACAUACAAUCACUGUUAAAUAUGCUAUAAAAAACAUUUUCCUUCAUGGAUUUUUGUUGUACUUACAAGAUACAAGUAGAUUCGAUGCCUCGUGAGUUUUAUAUGUAAUCUCUCAGAGUGGGCCAAUCUAAAGAAUGUUUGGCUUCCUUCAUUCAGAAAACAUUAUAACCCUGUGCAGAAAUAUAUGUCAAACUGAAAAGCGAGCUGGAAAUUCAAACAAAAAGACACUUUCUGGGGAAGCAUCAGCAGCAGACACCCCUUUUCUAUCAAAUGAUGGAAGGUGGAGAUAAACGAAUCAUGUAUGCUGCUCUCCUCCCUGGACACCAAUCCAAUGGCCAGGUCAUUCUAGAUUUAGUUACAUUUCCCUUUCUUUUUUAAAAUUUUUUAAUGCUUAUUUAUUUCUGAGAGAGAGAGCAUGAGCCAGGGAGGGGCAGAAAGAGAGGGAGACACAGAAUCUGUAACAGGCUCUGAGCCAUCAGCACAGAGCCCGAUGCAGGGCUCGAACACACGAACCAUGAGAUCGUGACCUGAGCCGAAAUUGGACGCUUAACCAACUGAGACACCCAGGCACCCCCAUUUCUCUUUCAAAAAUGCCCAGUUUGGAUAAAUCCAUUUACCUUAAGCAUUUCUUCAUUGCACAUGUCACUUCUGAAAUUGAGAUUCUACAUGCAUGGAAUUCUUCCCUGCUUAUCCUAUUAGAAAGAAAAUUCCAUGGGCAAGAGACAAUGUACACUUUGCUCAGAUACAGUAACAGGUAUCUCAAAAUCAUAUCUGGAUUCCCUGCUCCUACCUGAAAGAAAGGAAUGAAGGAGGAAAAGAAGAAAGAGGAAGGAGGAGAGAAAGAAUCCCAUUCUUCUCUCUUUCUUCUUCAUCUACGUCAAUGGCACACGACCUACCAACGUGUUCAGAACCAAACUCUAAGAAAUCAACCUUGACUCCUCUCGUCCCGGCCAAAGUAAGCCCCGGAGACACAACCUCCACAAUACGCUCCAAAUCCAGCCAUCACCAGCUCCUGAACCCUCGGUCUUAGUCCAACCCACCAAAACAUCCGCCUGGACUUUGUGUCAGCAUGUGGACUGAGCUAACCUUUCUUCCCUCCUCCUCACUCCCCUGCAGUGCAUUUUACAUAAACCCACUGAGUGAUUUUUAGAAAGUCUAAGUUGUUGGGGUGCCCAGGCGGCUCAGUCCGUUAAGCCUCCGACUUCAGCUCCGGUCAUGAUCUCGCGGUCCAUGCGUUCCAACCCCACACCAGGCUCUGUGCUGACAGCUCAGAACCCGAAGCCUGCUUCGGAUUCUGGGUCUCCCUCUCUCUCUCUUCUUCCCUCCCACGCAUACUCUGUCUCUGAAAAAAUAAAUAAACACUAAAAAUUUUUAAAGUAAAGAAAGCCUAAGUUGGUAUCCCGUCGUACUCUACUUGAAACAUUCUAAAAGCUUACAAUUUUUACUAAGUUAUAAUUUUUUUUAUUUAUGUUUAUUUUGUCUCCCCUGGUGCAGUGGAAUUUCGUGAGGAGAGGGGUGCCGUGUUCAUGGCGCCAGGACUUGGCUCAACGUGGGCACCCAGCAAGUACUCACUCUAUGAGUGAGUGAGCGAGUGCAUGGAUGGACCCACAGAGCAAGUCCCCCCACGCUUCCACAUCCACAGCCCCACACGGGUGCAGAAACACCCCCGCUCGUGGGGCUUUGCUUUACCGCCACCAGGUAAGGCUGUGGAUCUGAAGUGUCUCUGUGUUGCACACCAUUUGCUCAGCUCUCCGCAUGACAAAAGACCCACAGACCCCGUGUAAUCCCUCACUCGGUCCCAUAAAUUUUGGAACACGUGAAACACGGUUUCUAGGCUUUUCGCAGAAAACAACAGGCGCCCCCUCCGUGGAGACAACUGGAAAGACGCCAGCUGACAGCUUCCGGGCAACGGUAUUCUGUCUGCUAACUCUUUUCUCAGGCGAGCACACAGGGCACACGCCUCUGAAAGGCCAGCCCUCCUCACAGGGACCCCGGUGAACCCAAAUCGUUUGAGGGACAGGGGACCGUCUCCCUCGAGCAGCCACAAAACGGCACCGGUGACCGGGACGAUAUAUUCCCCCCGGCUGUAGUUCUAGUUCCGUAUCCAGGCACCCUCCACCCUGUGGGCUUCUCAGAGCACAGCCCUGGACCCCCGAGGUGAGGCCGUCAAAACUGCCAGUGAGUCAGAAAGCAGUUCAGGAACUUUCCACGUCGAGCCACACGAGUGCCUGUUUCCAACUUAAAAUGGAGACGCUCACUCUCCAGCGCUGCCUCCUGCC